UGGGUAACCUGCCUCAAAGAGGGGAAUAGCCUCCCGAAAGGGAGAUUAAUACCGCAUAAUAUGUUUAAGUCGCAUGACUUUAACAACAAAGGAUUUUCUUUUAGAAAUUCCACUUUGAGAUGGACCCGCGGCGCAUUAGCUAGUUGGUGAGGUAACGGCUCACCAACGGG
rnacentral:rRNA from 1 species